AUAUUGAUGAUCUGUAACCAUACUUCAACACCGUCCUACCUGAAACGAUUCUUGUUUUAUCCCACCAAUUUCAAAAUAGGAUUCGGCCUGUACGCAACUAUAGUCCUAUAAGGAUGAGCCCAGAUUUGGUGGUGAAUGAAAGUCAGAGUCCCCAGAGAGAAACCAUUGACCUGUGGACAGUACAUACCUGCUGAUUGCCCCCAGUAGGCCUUGACCCUGUGACCCAUUGGUGGAAGGCUAGUGAUCAUAGUCGGACUGACACCUUAACCACUCCGACACUCUGGCCCCCUGAUAUUAUAUGCACGUGUAAUACCCAUUUAUGAUGGCUUGUGAACCGGCACAGAAAAGGCUGAAGUUAUGAAGCCUUGAUCAUUUAUCAAUCUUCGCUCAUUGAUAGCUUCUGUAAUUGGCUUUCCAAUUUAAUUGUGGUUAUAAUCACCAUUAAAUUAAGUAAAA